rnacentral:lncRNA from 1 species
CUAUCAGUCCUGCCUCUAAGUCUUCUAAGAAACCUCUCAUUAUCUUCCUCAACAACUUUAAGUAUACUUUCUAAAAUCUGUUUCCUAUCUUGUAAUCCAAGAUGAACAACAUCAACUUCAUGAUAAUUUAUCUUUCCAUCGUCCAACGUUUGUCUCAAAAUCCCUUUCCUUAGCCUAUCAUAAGUAGGAAGUCUCUCAAUAGCAGCCCAUUUAAGCUCUUGUUCAUCGUCAUUUUCACGUGUACUUUUCUGAAAAACAUCACCACCUCCUGGUGCUGUAAACAUCACUUCUCUAACACUAGCUGAUGCCCAACUCCUUGAACUUACUGAUCGAAUACUCUUACUCAUAGAUCGACGACUCAUUGACUUGGCCAGCUCAUCCUGGCCUAAUGUUAUCUCCAUUUUUACACUCUCCAAUACAAUCAAACACGAAAAACACCCUUUAUAUCCUCACUUUCAAUGAUCAAACCUGUAAACAGAGAAAACAGAACGAAAUUUUACUGAAAAAUAACUACAACAACAGUUUUGCAAACAUAUACAUUACUCCAAUUCUCUAACUUCCAACAAAAAUUCAAGUAGCAUUCAUAAGAAAACAAACUCAACAUGGGAAAAUUCAAGAUCUCAUGAAAAUAACGGACGCGAAUCCAUAAUUUAAACUCUAUCAUUCAACUUUUUACACAUAAAUCUAUGUUACACGUAUCAGUAAGGUGUUCAACAUCUACUGUAUAUACAUAAAAGUAAUUUCAAUCAUAUAUAAACUAUGUAAUUUCUAACUGAAGGAUGUUCGUAUGAUCCCCUUGACACUACCUAAUUCAGAUGAACCGGAUGUUGCUAACACUACGAAGUAACUAAUAAUAAUGUAAACACACAAAAUUGGGGAGGGGAUAAAAUAAAGAAUGAAUUGAAGAUUAUACCUAAACACAAAAAUGUACCAGUAAAAAAGGAAUUUAAGGAUUUUUCAAACAAUUCAUG